UGAUUAUUUAGUUGAUAUAUUGGGAUUACUGGUCGGAGUGGGUACUGAAAGAGAAUUGCAAGUUGAUGGAAAGACAACAAAAUUAAAUGUCAUUGCAAUAGAAGCUGAUGGGUUUCGAAUAGAAUGUACUUUGUUUGGUAUUUAUGUGGAU